rnacentral:tRNA from 1 species
CACUGAGAAGCUAACAAGGAGAAGCAUUAGCCUUUUAAGCUAAAAAUUGGCGGCUACCGCCCGCCCUUGGUGA